rnacentral:rRNA from 1 species
UUAAGUGACUAAGCGUACACGGUGGAUGCCUUGGCAGUUGGAGGCGAUGAAGGACGUACUAACUUGCGAUAAGCCUAGUCAAGCCAGUAAGAGGCGCUUGAGACUAGGAUUUCCGAAUGGGGAAACCCACCUGCUUGCAGGUAUCGUUAACUGAAUACAUAGGUUAACGAGGCGAACGCGGAGAACUGAAACAUCUAAGUACCCGUAGGAAAAGAAAUCAACCGAGAUUCCGAAAGUAGCGGCGAGCGAAAUCGGAGCAGCCCUUAAGCUUUAGUGUAGUUAGUGGAACAUGCUGGAAAGCAUGACGAAACAGGGUGAUAGUCCCGUACACAAAAACUUAUCUAAAGUGAAAUCGAGUAGGUCGGAGCACGUGAAACUUUGACUGAAUAUGGGGGGACCAUCCUCCAAGGCUAAAUACUCCCAACUGACCGAUAGUGAACCAGUACCGUGAGGGAAAGGCGAAAAGAACCCCUGUGAGGGGAGUGAAAUAGAACCUGAAACCGUGUACGUACAAGCAGUAGGAGCCUACUUGUUGGGUGACUGCGUACCUUUUGUAUAAUGGGUCAGCGACUUAUAUUCUGUAGCGAGGUUAACCAUUUAGGGGAGCCGUAGCGAAAGCGAGUCUUAACUGGGCGCUUAAGUUGCAGGGUAUAGACCCGAAACCCGGUGAUCUAGCCAUGGGCAGGUUGAAGGUUGAGUAACAUCAACUGGAGGACCGAACCCACUAACGUUGAAAAGUUAGGGGAUGACCUGUGGCUAGGAGUGAAAGGCUAAUCAAACCGGGAGAUAGCUGGUUCUCCCCGAAAUCUAUUUAGGUAGAGCCUCGGACGAAUACUUACGGGGGUAGAGCACUGUUAAGGCUAGGGGGUCAUCCCGACUUACCAACCCUUUGCAAACUCCGAAUACCGUAAAGUAAUAUCCGGGAGACACACGGCGGGUGCUAACGUCCGUCGUGGAGAGGGAAACAACCCAGACCGUCAGCUAAGGUCCCAAAGUGUAUGUUAAGUGGGAAACGAUGUGGGAAGGCUAAAACAGCUAGGAGGUUGGCUUAGAAGCAGCCACCCUUUAAAGAAAGCGUAAUAGCUCACUAGUCGAGUCGGCCUGCGCGGAAGAUGUAACGGGGCUAAACAUACCACCGAAGCUACGGCUGCGUACGUAAGUAUGCGGGGUAGGGGAGCGUUCUGUAAGUGGCUGAAGGUGUGCCGGGAGGCAUGCUGGACAUAUCAGAAGUGCGAAUGCUGACAUGAGUAACGACAAGAGGAGUGAAAAACUCCUCCGCCGGAAGACCAAGGGUUCCUAUCCCAUGUUAAUCAGGGUAGGGUGAGUCGACCCCUAAGGCGAGGCUGAAGAGCGUAGUCGAUGGGAAACGGGUUAAUAUUCCCGUACUCGGUAUGAAUGCGAUGGGGGGACGGAGCAGGCUAGGCAAGCAUGGCGUUGGUUGUCCAUGUGAAAGGCUGUAGGCUGGUGACUUAGGAAAAUCCGGGUUGCCAAGGCUGAGAGUCGAGACGAGCCACUAAGGUGGUGAAGUUGUUGAUGCCCUACUUCCAGGAAAAGCCUCUAAGCUUCAGUUCAUACUGAAUCGUACCCUAAACCGACACAGGUGGUCAGGUAGAGAAUACUAAGGCGCUUGAGAGAACUCGGGUGAAGGAACUAGGCAAAAUUGUACCGUAACUUCGGGAGAAGGUACGCUCUUGUUUGUGAAGGACUUGCUCUGUAAGCAAACGAGAGCCGCAGUGACCAGGUGGCUGGGACUGUUUAUUAAAAACACAGCACUGUGCAAAAUCGUAAGAUGACGUAUACGGUGUGACACCUGCCCGGUGCCGGAAGGUUAAUUGAUGGGGUUAGCUUAGGCGAAGCUCUUGAUCGAAGCCCCGGUAAACGGCGGCCGUAACUAUAACGGUCCUAAGGUAGCGAAAUUCCUUGUCGGGUAAGUUCCGACCUGCACGAAUGGUGUAACCAUGGCCACGCUGUCUCCACCCGAGACUCAGUGAAAUUGAAAUCGCAGUGAAGAUGCUGUGUACCCGCGGCUAGACGGAAAGACCCCGUGAACCUUUACUACAGCUUGGCACUGAACAUUGACCCUACAUGUGUAGGAUAGGUGGGAGGCUUUGAAGCAGAGACGCUAGUUUCUGUGGAGCCGACCUUGAAAUACCACCCUUGUAGUGUUGAUGUUCUAACUUAGGCCCCUGAAUCGGGGUUGAGGACAGUGCCUGGUGGGUAGUUUGACUGGGGCGGUCUCCUCCCAAAGAGUAACGGAGGAGCACGAAGGUUUGCUAAGUACGGUCGGACAUCGUACGGUUAGUGUAAUGGUAGAAGCAAGCUUAACUGCGAGACAGACACGUCGAGCAGGUACGAAAGUAGGUCAUAGUGAUCCGGUGGUUCUGAAUGGAAGGGCCAUCGCUCAACGGAUAAAAGGUACUCCGGGGAUAACAGGCUGAUACCGCCCAAGAGUUCAUAUCGACGGCGGUGUUUGGCACCUCGAUGUCGGCUCAUCACAUCCUGGGGCUGAAGUCGGUCCCAAGGGUAUGGCUGUUCGCCAUUUAAAGUGGUACGCGAGCUGGGUUUAGAACGUCGUGAGACAGUUCGGUCCCUAUCUGCCGUGGGCGUUUGAGAAUUGAGAGGGGCUGCUCCUAGUACGAGAGGACCGGAGUGGACGAACCGCUGGUGUUCGGGUUGUGAUGCCAAUUGCAUUGCCCGGUAGCUACGUUCGGAACUGAUAACCGCUGAAAGCAUCUAAGCGGGAAGCAGGCCUUGAGAUGAGUUCUCACUUUGACUUAGAGUCAACUGAAGGGCCGUUGAAGACUACAACGUUGAUAGGCGAGAUGUGGAAGUGCUGUGAGGCAUUAAGCUAACUCGUACUAAUUACCCGUGAGGCUUAACCAU